CGUUUUUUGUGUUAAAUAAGAAAUAUAACCUGCCCACUGAUAAUUAAAUGGCCGCGGUAUUUUGACCGUGCGAAGGUAGCAUAAUCAUUAGUCUAUUAAUUAUGGACUGGUAUGAAUGGUUGGAUGGGUAAACUCUGUCUCUUAUAUAGAAAUGAAUUUUAGGUUUUUGUGAAGACGCUAUAAAUAAAAUUAAAAGACGAGAAGACCCUAUUAAGCUUCACAUUUACUAUCUUUACUUAGAUAUAUGAUGUUAUAUUGGGGCGAUAGUAGAAUAUAAAAACUUCUAUUAUAAGUUAAUAUUUAUAAAUAAAAAAUUCUUUAUGAUCCAAAUUAUUUGAUUAUAAGAACAAGUUACUAUAGGGAUAACAGCGUAAUUUUAUUGGAGAGUUCUUAUUGAUAAUAAAGAUUGCGACCUCGAUGUUGAAUUAGGAUUCCUAUAAGGUGCAGAUGUUUUAAGAGGUAGUCUGUUCGACUAUUAAAAUCCUACA
rnacentral:rRNA from 1 species